rnacentral:rRNA from 1 species
UAGGGAAUCUUCGGCAAUGGACGGAAGUCUGACCGAGCAACGCCGCGUGAGUGAAGAAGGUUUUCGGAUCGUAAAGCUCUGUUGUAAGAGAAGAACGAGUGUGAGAGUGGAAAGUUCACACUGUGACGGUAUCUUACCAGAAAGGGACGGCUAACUACGUGCCAGCAGCCGCGGUAAUACGUAGGUCCCGAGCGUUGUCCGGAUUUAUUGGGCGUAAAGCGAGCGCAGGCGGUUAGAUAAGUCUGAAGUUAAAGGCUGUGGCUUAACCAUAGUAGGCUUUGGAAACUGUUUAACUUGAGUGCAAGAGGGGAGAGUGGAAUUCCAUGUGUAGCGGUGAAAUGCGUAGAUAUAUGGAGGAACACCGGUGGCGAAAGCGGCUCUCUGGCUUGUAACUGACGCUGAGGCUCGAAAGCGUGGGGAGCAAACAGGAUUAGAUACCCUGGUAGUCCACGCUGUAAACGAUGAGUGCUAGUGUUAGACCCUUUCCGGGGUUUAGUGCCGUAGCUAACGCAUUAAGCACUCCGCCUGGGGAGUACGACCGCAAGGUU